GACGUAGGGCGCGAGCGUUGUCCGGAUUUAUUGGGCGUAAAGAGCUCGUAGGCGGCUUGUUGCGUCAGCUGUGAAAACCCGCAGCUCAACUGUGGGCUUGCAGCUGGUACGGGCAGACUAGAGUGCGGUAGGGGAGACUGGAAUUCCUGGUGUAGCGGUGAAAUGCGCAGAUAUCAGGAGGAACACCGGUGGCGAAGGCGGGUCUCUGGGCCGUAACUGACGCUGAGGAGCGAAAGCAUGGGGAGCGAACAGG
rnacentral:rRNA from 1 species